GGGCGAGUGGCGGAAUUGGCAGACGCGCCGGACUUAGGAUCCGGUGGGCAUAGCCCGUGGGAGUUCGAGUCUCCCCUCGCCCA
rnacentral:tRNA from 1 species